rnacentral:rRNA from 1 species
AGCGAACGCUGGCGGCAGGCCUAACACAUGCAAGUCGAACGAACUCUUCGGAGUUAGUGGCGGACGGGUGAGUAACACGGGGGAACGUGCCCUUUGGUUCGGUAUAACUCAGGGAAACUUGUGCUAAUACCGAAUGUGCCCUUCGGGGGAAAGAUUUAUUGCCAUUAGAGCGGCCCGCGUCUGAUUAGCUAGUUGGUGAGGUAACGGCUCACCAAGGCGACGAUCAGUAGCUGGUCUGAGAGGAGGACCUGCCACGCUGGGACUGCGACACGGCCCACACUCCUACGGGAGGCAGCAGUGGGGAAUCUUGCGCAAUGGGCGAAAGCCUGACGCAGCCAUGCCGCGUGAAUGAUGAAGGUCUUAGGAUUGUAAAAUUCUUUCACCGGGGACGAUAAUGACGGUACCCGGAGAAGAAGCCCCGGCUAACUUCGUG